rnacentral:rRNA from 1 species
GACGAACGCUGGCGGCGUGCUUAACACAUGCAAGUCGAGCGGUAAGGCCCUUUCGGGGUACGACGAGCGGCGAACGGGUAGGAGUAACAACGUGGGUGGACCUCGCCCUCCAGCUCUGGGAGUAAAGACCUCGGGAAACGUAGGGUCGUAAUAACCGGAGUAUGACUCCAUGACGCAUGUUGUGGGGUGGAAAGACCUUGUGCGGCUGAGGAUGGGCCCGCGGCCUAUCAGCUUGUUGGUGGGGUGGANGGCCUACCAAGGCGACGACGGGUAGCCGGCCU